UUUUAAGUCGGAUGUGAAAUCCCUGAGCUUAACUUAGGAAUUGCAUUCGAUACUGGGAAGCUAGAGUAUGGGAGAGGAUGGUAGAAUUCCAGGUGUAGCGGUGAAAUGCGUAGAGAUCUGGAGGAAUACCGAUGGCGAAGGCAGCCAUCUGGCCUAAUACUGACGCUGAGGUACGAAAGCAUGGGGAGCAAACAGGAUUAGAUACCCUGGUAGUCCAUGCCGUAAACGAUGUCUACUAGCCGUUGGGGCCUUUGAGGCUUUAGUGGCGCAGCUAACGCGAUAAGUAGACCGCCUGGGGAGUACGGUCGCAAGACUAAAACUCAAAUGAAUUGACGGGGGCCCGCACAAGCGGUGGAGCAUGUGGUUUAAUUCGAUGCAACGCGAAGAACCUUACCUGGUCUUGACAUAGUAAGAACUUUCCAGAGAUGGAUUGGUGCCUUCGGGAACUUACAUACAGGUGCUGCAUGGCUGUCGUCAGCUCGUGUCGUGAGAUGUUGGGUUAAGUCCCGCAACGAGCGCAACCCUUUUCCUUAUUUGCCAGCGGGUUAAGCCGGGAACUUUAAGGAUACUGCCAGUGACAAACUGGAGGAAGGCGGGGACGACGUCAAGUCAUCAUGGCCCUUACGACCAGGGCUACACACGUGCUACAAUGGUCGGUACAAAGGGUUGCUACCUAG
rnacentral:rRNA from 1 species